UCAUAGUCUGCUAGCCUGCCAUGCGCACUAAAGUGUCUUCUCCUCCAAACCUGGUGAACUCGUAAAAAAACCUCGUUUUGGGCCAACCAACAUCCGCAAUCACCGAUGGCCCCCCUUUCCGCCAUUCCAAUGGGAUUUGUUAGGAUAGGCCUUCGAACUUGGAGACGAGUCGGCCAUGUUGAAAAACGCUCAAACCAUCCAGAAAAGAA